rnacentral:rRNA from 1 species
AUGGAAUCCCUAGCCGCCGCCACGUUCUCGCCCUCGCGCCUCGCUGCCCACCCCGCCCCGCCCGCGGCUGCGGCAGCGGGCAGAUCGAGGGCGGUGGCGGCACGAGGGAGGAGGAGGAGCAGCAGCGGCCUGAGGUGCUCGUCGGCGAGCGCGACCCCGGUGAUCAAUGGGAGCGCCGCCGCGAAGGCGGAGGAGGAGGACAGGAGGCGCUUCUUUGAGGCGGCGGCACGGGGGACCGGCAAGGGCAACCUGGUGCCCGUGUGGGAGUGCAUCGUGUCGGAUCACCUCACCCCCGUGCUCGCCUACCGCUGCCUCGUCCCCGAGGACGACAUGGACACCCCCAGCUUCCUCUUCGAGUCCGUCGAGCAGGGGCUCGAGGGGACCACCAACGUUGGUCGUUACAGCAUGGUGGGAGCCCACCCGGUGAUGGAGGUCGUGGCCAAGGAGAACAAGGUCACCAUCAUGGACCAUGAGAAGGCUGAGGUGACGGAGAAGAUCAUGGAUGAUCCUAUGCAGGUUCCCAGGAGCAUAAUGGAGGGAUGGCACCCGCAGGAGAUCGACCAGCUCCCUGAGGCCUUCAGUGGUGGAUGGGUUGGGUUCUUUUCCUAUGAUACAGUCCGCUAUGUCGAAAAGAAGAAGAUACCUUUCUCUGGUGCUCCCCACGAUGAUAGGAACCUCCCUGAUGUUCACUUGGGGCUUUACGAUGAUGUUCUUGUCUUUGACAAUGUUGAGAAGAAAGUAUAUGUCAUCCAUUGGGUAAGUGUGGACCGGCAUGCAUCCACCGAGGAAGCAUACAAAGAUGGCAGGUCUCGAUUGAAGCGGUUGCUGUCUAAAGUUCACAAUGCAAAUGUCCCCAAGCUCUCUCCAGGAUUUGUGAAGCUACAUACUCGGCAGUUCGGUACACCCUUGAACAAAUCGACCAUGACAAGUGAUGAGUACAAGGGUGCUGUUAUGCAGGCUAAGGAGCAUAUUCUGGCCGGUAAUAUUUUCCAGAUUGUUUUAAGCCAGCGUUUUGAGAGGCGAACUUAUGCCACUCCAUUUGAGGUUUACCGAGCUUUACGAAUUGUCAACCCAAGCCCAUACAUGGCAUAUGUGCAGGCGAGAGGUUGUAUCCUGGUAGCAUCUAGUCCUGAAAUUCUUACAAAAGUCGAGAAGGGAAAGGUUAUUAACCGGCCACUUGCUGGGACUACACGAAGGGGCAAGACAGAGCAUGAAGAUAAAUUGCAAGAGGAACAACUAUUAAGUGAUCAAAAGCAAUGUGCCGAACACAUUAUGCUUGUAGACUUGGGAAGGAAUGAUGUUGGCAAGGUAUCCAAAUCUGGGUCUGUAAAGGUGGAGAAGUUGAUGAACAUCGAGCGGUACUCCCAUGUCAUGCACAUCAGCUCCACGGUCAGUGGAGAGUUAGAUGAUCGCCUUGAAAGCUGGGAUGCACUGCGAGCAGCAUUGCCUGUUGGAACAGUCAGUGGGGCGCCAAAGGUAAAAGCCAUGGAGCUAAUAGAUCAGUUGGAAGUCACAAGACGAGGACCAUACAGUGGUGGCUUAGGAGGGAUAUCAUUUGAUGGUGACAUGCUUAUCGCUCUUGCUCUCCGCACCAUUGUAUUCUCAACAGCUCCAAGCCACAAUACAAUGUACUCAUACAAAAGCUCAGAUAGACGCCGAGAGUGGGUUGCUCACCUUCAGGCUGGUGCGGGCAUUGUUGCUGAUAGUAUCCCAGACGAUGAGCAAAAAGAAUGUGAGAAUAAGGCAGCUGCCCUAGCUCGGGCAAUUGAUCUUGCAGAGUCGGCUUUUGUAGACAAAGAAUAG